UAGGAAAUCUUCCACAAUGGGCGAAAGCCUGAUGGAGCAACGCCGCGUGUGUGAUGAAGGCUUUCGGGUCGUAAAGCACUGUUGUAUGGGAAGAACAGCUAGAAUAGGAAAUGGUUCUAGUUUGACGGUACCAUACCAGAAAGGGACGGCUAAAUACGUACCAG
rnacentral:rRNA from 1 species